ensembl:lncRNA
CCUGCUUUCUUUCACCUGCAGCAGAGCUGCACACUCUGACUCUGGAGCAGGUGAGGCUCCAGAGAGUGAAAACCUCAGGCUGGAAAAAGCAGAUCCAUGGAUCCCUGAAGAGCUAAUCGUAAACCUAGAAUGCUCAUCAGGUGGUGUAAAGCAAGAGAAACUGUACUGAAGAGCAGCUGUAAACCUAGAGUGCUCAUCAGGUGGUAUAAAGCAAGAGAAACUGUACUGAAGAGCAGCUGAUACAAAGGUCUUGUAAUCUUCAGCACUAGUAAUUGUUCUCUGCUUUUUUGUUAUCAAGGCUGUGCACAGCGGCCUUUUGAUAUCUGCCCAGGGAGUGAGCUGUUUCUUCAGAAAUGAUGAAGCUUAGAUUGUAUCAAGACCUCUUAUGACUCAAACUAAAUAACUUCCCCUUCUCCCUCACAGAGUAAAUCAGAUUUUACAAGCUUUGGCAAUUUCAAUGCAUGCUGUGCCUGUUAGUUCUAAGUCUGGUACAGUCUCCACAUUCUUGAAUGAGAACAAAGAUAUGAAUGAACAUUUAUGGUCUCACCCAAACCUUAAACUGCAGUGUUUGGUUUGGAGAAGCCACAAUGCAAAUAUUUUUUCAGCUCUUAUCACCCCAGCUAAUCUGUAAGGAUGUGAUGCUCAUUACUUCUCUAGAUUGUUUGUGUGAAUCCUGCAGUCCCUUUUCCUGUGGCUUUGGAAUGGUGGGGGUACUUCUCCCUGAUGUCUUUGGCAAGAAGGCUGAGAGCAUGGAGAGUGCCAUGCUUCUGCAUCUGGUAGAUGUGGGGUUCUGUGAGCAGGAGCCAGCUGAAGAGAAUAUUUUUGGGAACUAUAGUUGUGGUAGGGAAGGGAGAACUUCGGUCUUGUACCUGCUCUGGGGUGUGCUGUGUGUCACUGUGGUGGGACAUUGCCAGAUGCCUCCUUCUCCAUCAUCGCAUGGCUUCAUCCAGCCUGAAGGUGAAAAACCAUCUUCUCCUGUAUUGUCGUUGGACAGCUGCUUUGUCAGCUUCUGUGGCUGGGGAAGGUCUGGGAACCUGUCUUGCAGAGCUGCCAGGUGUGUGGUACAGCCCCAGAUCAAUCCUGGUUAUCCAUCCAUGACACAGGGCUCGUGGUGAGCCAGAACUGACCGUCACAGCAGCUGGUGGUCACCAAGUUACUUGCAGUUCCCUCUGGUCUUUCUUGAUUAGUUAUGUUCAUAAGGAUGUGUAGUGUUGAAACCAGUUCAUCUGCAUACAGAGGCUUUGUAUUCAGCUGCUUCCUGCAAGAGCUCCCUCCUCACCCCAGGGCAGGGUGCAGUAUUUUAACAUUUGAGGACUGAAAAGAGAAAGAAGAAGGCUGAAAGCAUGCCACUCUCCCUCUUCCCAUGACCUUUGAAAUCAAGCUUGUUGAUAUUUUCAUUAUUUGUUUAUUUAUUGACUUAUGCUUGGCAUAACUUUCUAACUUUGAAGGUAUAAAUAUAAUAAUAUAAACUGGAUGACAACACACCUUGUUUUGUUUGCAUUUCAUUUUCCAUGUGAGUUGUAAAGCAAGUGCCUCUAGUGUUACCUAAAGGGAAGUUGACUUUAAGGUUUACCUUUUGCUCAGGUCAGUACUGCUGACAAACCUGUUAAUAAUGGCUGGAUAUCAACCAGUGCUUUCUCUGUGAUGGGGAGAAAAAGCACCAGACUAAGUUUCCCCCAGCCACCUAUGACUGCAGUGGCAUACAGCCAGGGAUGUAGCCCACUUCUGCUCUGAAUUUCCUACCAUCUGCACCCUCCUUCUCGGGUUAUCACCUCUGCUGCAGGGAGGUCCUUCCUGACCUGAAUUGUCCUGUGACCCAGUGUACAGCCACCAAACCCUGCACACCUGGAGCUGGGGCCAGUGGCUGAGCAAGGGACAGGGUAGUGUAGAGUCAGGCCUGGGGAAUUUAAAUUUAAAUCACUGCAAAAGCAAUCACACCUGGGUCCAAAGUUUUUGCCUGAAAGUAAGGAGGGAGGAGAAAUAUGAGAAGCCAUGUGUCACUACCACAGCUCUUCACUGUUACCACUGCCUCCUCUUCCUCCUCAAGGGGUUUGCAGCUCCAGCAGUACCUGCCCAAGCCUGACCCCAAGCUUCAGCAACCCCAAGCUGAUCCAAAGGACACACGUCCAGUAACAAACAUUGCACAAUUGAACCACUGGCAUUUAGGGCUGGUGAAACCUCUGACCAAGACCUAGACUCCUCUAAUUAAACUUAGCUUAUCACUCUUGUGGAAGUGCUGAAGGGCAAGGCAUUCUCAGUGCAGUUCUCAUAUUGACUUUCUGUAGAGUAACCUUUAUAUAUCUCAAUAGAUGUGGCCUUUUAGUGAUGGACAUCAUUAUUCUGCCUUCUUGGCAUGUGAGGCAGUGCAAGACAAAGAGCUGCAGAGUAAUUUAACAGAGGCUGAAAUUUGGUGGUGUGAGUCCCGGUGAGCACACAAGCAGAGACAGACUCUGAAAAUGCUGUGAUUUUAUUUUUGUAUCAAUUUCCAUAUUAAGUUAACAGACACUAGAACUUACUGUACAAAGCACUGCUAUCCAGACCUAUAUUUAGCUGCUCGGAUAUUUGUGUCUCCGUAUCACCAGAUCUCCAGAAAUGAGUGGAUAUUUUCCAUCAAGGGCUUGUUAUAUGUGACCUACUGUGAAAGGAAAAUAUCUGUUUCACUACCAUGCAUUUUUUCAUACAAGUGGUAUCUUUUUUUCUGUGUCUCUUCUAACCUACUUUAACACAUUAUUAUUCCUUUAAAAUGCUACAAACUUACUUGCUUUAAUGUAACUUGGUAAUUAACUGGUAGUUACAGCUGAAAGAAGAAAUUAACAUGCAUGUCAUUUUUAAAGAAUUACAUAGUGCAGGAAAACCUCUUAGUAUUUGGGAGGAUGGCCAAAUCUCCAUCCAGGACCUGAACAGAACACAAGCCUUCUGAAAUUUGUCUGAGGCUCCUUGUUUCCUGGGACAUUAUUUCCCCACCAAUCCCAAAAAGGCCAUGCUGUGAACCCUGCCUAAGGUUUCUUUUUCCCAAGCGUGAGGGUUUCCCUUGAGAGUCUCUCCUGCUUUUGCUUCUCCAGUGAUCUGUGUGCUGUUGGCCCGGGACCUGGCCUGCCAGCCUGACUCUGCAGGAGAAUCCUGGGUGCAUUUUGCAGUCGGUGCCGAAACCCAGUGACAAGAUUUGUCCUGUUCGGUGGGUCGUGGUGGCAGCCAGUCUAUCAUGGGAGAGCCCAUUUGCUUACUUUGCUGCUUCUUUGUUUGUUUGUUUAGGAGUUGGGUGGGUUUUUAAAUUUAUACUUAAAGCUUGAGGUUUAGUUUUUUUCAAGUAAUGAUUGUGAGACCAGCUGUCGGCAUUAAUUUGCUUUAAUAUGACUCAAUCUGAGCAGUGUUCAAGCUUCUUCUUAGAAAAUGUAGCUGAUUGCA